rnacentral:rRNA from 1 species
CCUACGGGUGGCAGCAGUAGGGAAUAUUGCUCAAUGGGGGAAACCCUGAACCAGCAACGCCGCGUGGAGGAUGACGGUUUUAUGAUUUUUAACUCCUUUUGUUAGAGAAGAUUAUGACGGUAUGUAACGAAUUAGCACCGGCUAACUCCGUGCCAGCAGCCGCAGUAAUAAGGGGGGUGCAACCGUUACUCGGAGUGACUGGGCGUAAACGGUGCGUAGGCGGGGUAAUAAGUCAGAUGUGAAAUCCUGUAGGUUAACUACAGAAGUGCAUUUGAAACUGUUACUCUGGAGUGUGGGAGAGGUAGGUGGAAUUCUUGGUGUAGGGGUAAAAUCCGUAGAGAUCAAGAGGAAUACUGAUUGCGAAGGCGACCUGCUGGAACAUUACUGAUGCUGAUGCACGAAAGCGUGGGGAGCAAACAGGAUUAGAUACCCGGGUAGUC